rnacentral:rRNA from 1 species
AUUGAACGCUGGCGGCUGGCCUAACACAUGCAAGUCGAACGAGUGGCGGACGGGUGAGUAAUGUCUGGGAAACUGCCCGAUGGAGGGGGAUAACUACUGGAAACGGUAGCUAAUACCGCAUACCAUCGGAUGUGCCCAGAUGGGAGUAGCUUGUAGGUGAGGUAACGGCUCACCUAGGCGACGAUCCCUAGCGGGUCUGAGAGGAUGACCAGCCAAACUGUAACUGAGACACGGUGCAUACUCCGACGUGAGGCAGCAGUGGGGAAUAUUGCACAAUGGGCGCAAGCCUGAUGCAGCCAUGCCGCGUGUAUGAAGAAGGCCUUCGGGUUGUAAAGUACUGUCAGCGGGGAGGCGUUACCCGCAGAAGAAGCUCCGGCUAACUCCGUGCCAGAAGCCGCGGUAAUAC